UACGUAGGUGACCAGCGUUGUCCGGAUUUACUGGGCGUAAAGAGCGCGCAGGCGGUCGUUCAAGUCGAGUGUGAAAGCCCCCGGCUCAACUGGGGAGGGUCACUCGAUACUGAUCGACUUGAAGGCAGGAGAGGGAAGCGGAAUUCCCGGUGUAGUGGUGAAAUGCGUAGAUAUCUGGAGGAAUACCGGUGGCGAAGGCGGCAUCCUGGACCGACAUUGACGCUGAACGGCGAAAGCUA
rnacentral:rRNA from 1 species